UACGAGGGGGGCAAGCGUUGUUCGGAAUUAUUGGGCGUAAAGGGCGCGUAGGCGGUGCGGUAAGUCACCUGUGAAAACUCUGGGCUCAACUCAGAGCCUGCAGGCGAAACUGCCGUGCUGGAGUGUGGGAGAGGUGCGUGGAAUUCCCGGUGUAGAGGUGAAAUUCGUAGAUAUUCGGAGGAACACCAGAAGCGAAGGCGGCCAACUGGCCCGAUACUGACGCUGAGGCGCGAAAGCGUGGGGAGCAAACAGG
rnacentral:rRNA from 1 species